UGGAGGACAAGGCAUGUAGAGCAGGAAAUAAGCACAAUACGGGUAAAAUGAGACAAUGUCAGAAUAGGACACCUUGGUUGAAAGAAAAUGUAUUUGUGGAAGAAAAAAGAACCUUCUGGGAGAUUCUGAAGUCUAGUGGUUGGGUGACGAGGCUGAGGCAGGAGAAUGGCUUGAACCUGGGAGGCAGAGCUUGCAGUGAGUUAUUGUUAUUGCUGUCAUAACGAUGAGCACUUCACAACAGCUGUCACCACCAGAUGCAGCAGCAAUUGCAUGGAAUCAUAACUUAAAAAAUUAACAACCAGAUUUCUGAAGUUAGAGUUCUUAGUUUCAAAUCUUGUCUGCAUCAAAAUUGCUCUGUGACUUUGGGAAAGUUUAACCACUGAUUUCUACCUUGAAGAAAAAAAUGAGUAUAAUAAUAUCUAUCUCGUAAAAUGGUGGUGAAGAUCACAUGGGAUAAUGCAAAUGAAGUUUGUAUCUUAUUGCCUGAUACAUAAAGUAUAUUCAAUAAAUAUUUGCCAUUAUGAUUACCAUUAUAAUUAUACAAUUUAGAAAACUCACAACAAAUCCCACUGCUGAAUAACUGAAACAGUCAUUAUUUCAUGUAAAAAUUAUUGCCCACGGAAGGUCCUAUCUUCUUCAUUGUCCAAAGAAUAUAUUACAUUAAAUAUGGCUUUCAUUGUAAUUAUUAAAAAUAGUUUAUAUUUAUUCAUAUCUAGGUUUUCAUCAAAGUUAUGCAUACUACUGAAUACUACACUGAAAGAACCACUAAGUACUACAAGACUUAUUACAUAGAACAGGAGUCAUCUAUCCACUUUUCCUCCUAAUUUCACAAUCUCUAGAGGGAACAGUUUUCAACUACACACAGUCCUCACAUAGUGUGACAGUGCCUGACCAUAAGAGUGACUGUGAAAUGGGACAUUG
rnacentral:lncRNA from 1 species